rnacentral:rRNA from 1 species
UACGGAGGGUGCAAACGUUGCUCGGAAUCAUUGGGCGUAAAGCGCACGUAGGCGGCUUGUUAAGUCGGAUGUGAAAGCCCUCGGCUCAACCGAGGAAGUGCAUACGAAACUGGCGAGCUUGAAUAUGGAAGAGGGUCGCGGAAUUCCUGGUGUAGCGGUGAAAUGCGCAGAUAUCAGGAGGAACACCGGUGGCGAAGGCGGGUCUCUGGGCAACAACUGACGCUGAGGAGCGAAAGCGUGGGGAGCGAACAGG